UAGCCAUGUUGUGGACAAGCAUCUACAUAGCUCUUGUAUCGUUCCCAACAAUGACAAAAUAACUCAUCCGCUUCCUGAGUAAAAUUUAAUAUUUUUCUUUUGAGAAG